GUCACAGGUGAGGGUCGGAAGGUCAGUGAUGUGAUGUAAAAGGUCUGAAGCCCA
ensembl:miRNA